rnacentral:rRNA from 1 species
UGGGGAAUAUUGGACAAUGGGCGCAAGCCUGAUCCAGCCAUGCCGCGUGAACGAUGAAGGCCUUAGGGUUGUAAAGUUCUUUUGUCAGGGAAGAUAAUGACGGUACCUGAAGAAUAAGCACCGGCUAACUUCGUGCCAGCAGCCGCGGUAAUACGAAGGGUGCUAGCGUUGUUCGGAAUCACUGGGCGUAAAGCGCGCGUAGGCGGCGAUAUAAGCCAGAGGUGAAAGCCUGGAGCUCAACUCCAGAACUGCCUUUGAAACUAUAUUGCUAGAGUGUCGGAGGGGAUAGCGGAAUUGCUAAUGUAGAGGUGAAAUUCGUAGAUAUUAGCAGGAACACCGGUGGCGAAGGCGGCUAUCUGGACGACAACUGACGCUGAGGCGCGAAAGCGUGGGGAUCAAACAGGAUUAGAUACCCCCGUAGUCCCUGAGCGGGCUGGCAAGGCGCAU